CCUACGGGGGACAGCAGUGAGGAAUAUUGGUCAAUGGGCGCGAGCCUGAACCAGCCAAGUAGCGUGAAGGAUGACUGCCCUACGGGUUGUAAACUUCUUUUAUAAAGGAAUAAAGUGAGGCACGUGUGCCUUUUUGUAAGUACUUUAUGAAUAAGGAUCGGCUAACUCCGUGCCAGCAGCCGCGGUAAUACGGAGGAUCCGAGCGUUAUCCGGAUUUAUUGGGUUUAAAGGGAGCGUAGAUGGGUUGUUAAGUCAGUUGUGAAAGUUUGGGGCUCAACCGUAAAAUUGGAAUUGAUACUGGCAGGCUUUAGUACAGUUGAGGUUAGGGGAAUUCGUUGGUU
rnacentral:rRNA from 1 species